rnacentral:rRNA from 1 species
CUUUGUGAACAUACCUAUAACUGUUGCUUCGGCGGGCAGGGUCUCCGUGACCCUCCCGGCCUCCCGCCCCCGGGCGGGUCGGCGCCCGCCGGAGGAUAACCAAACUCUGAUUUAACGACGUUUCUUCUGAGUGGUACAAGCAAAUAAUCAAAACUUUUAACAACGGAUCUCUUGGUUCUGGCAUCGAUGAAGAACGCAGCGAAAUGCGAUAAGUAAUGUGAAUUGCAGAAUUCAGUGAAUCAUCGAAUCUUUGAACGCACAUUGCGCCCGCCAGCAUUCUGGCGGGCAUGCCUGUUCGAGCGUCAUUUCAACCCUCAAGCUCUGCUUGGUGUUGGGGCCCUACAGCUGAUGUAGGCCCUCAAAGGUAGUGGCGGACCCUCCCGGAGCCUCCUUUGCGUAGUAACUUUACGUCUCGCACUGGGAUCCGGAGGGACUCUUGCCGUAAAACCCCCAAUUUUCCAAAGGUUGACCUCGGAUCAGGUAGGAAUACCCGCUGAACUUAAGCAUAUCAAAAGCCGGGAGGAAGGGAAGAGCCU